CCCUUAGAUGUUCUGGGCCGCACGCGCGCUACACUGAUGCAUUCAACGAGCACCCGCUGGGCCGAGAGGUCCGGCUAAUCUUUGAACGCGCAUCGUGCUGGGGAUAGAUGAUUGCAAUUAUUCAUCUUCAACGAGGAAUUCCUAGUAAACGCAAGUCAUCAGCUUGCAUUGAUUACGUCCCUGCCCUUUGUACACACCGCCCGUCGCACCUACCGAUUGAAUGGUCCGGUGAAAUUCUCGGACGCGGACUUGCGAUGUUAAUUCGGAGCUUGACUGUGAAAGUUAAUUAAACCUUACCAUUUAGAGGAAGGUGAAGUCGUAACA
rnacentral:rRNA from 1 species